UUUCACCUGCAAGCAAAGAAGAAGAAGAAGAGGGAAACACAGUUAGCCAUGAUUUUAACAGAAAACAAAAAUUGACAAAUGGAAUGACAAAUGCUUCAAGUGAAGCAAAUGUCAGCAGCAGCAGCAGCUUCUUGUCGCGCCUGCUGCAUGUAUGCGCAAAUUAACAUUUUCAUUGGCUUUUCAUGUUAGUUGGAGAACAACUACAACACGACAACAGCAGCAACAGCAACAUCUAUAACAACAAGCAAACAGCAGCUGCUCUGGCACACGACUUGCCGCUGCUGAUGACGAUGGCCCAACAACAACAGCAACAACAACAACAACAGCAAUAACAAUAACAAGAGACAACACGACGACAUUUGGCAAGUCGAGCUACAAAAUUGUAAACGGAAUUGCGACCGGCCGGUGCCCAAACGUUUCUCUAUGACUAAUUCACUGCGAGCGGGCAGCCGGCUGUGCUCCGAGCAUUACAACUCAACAACAACGACAACAUCAACAUAAACAUAAACAUUCGUGUUCGAAUUGAAAUUGAAUGAAAUAAUUAUUGCGCUGCUUUAAAUUUUGUGAACUUGA